rnacentral:tRNA from 1 species
CCGGGCGUAGCGUAGCAGCCAACGCACUCGGCUUGGGACCGAGGGAUCGGGAGUGCAAAUCUCCCCGCCCGGACCA